UACGGAGGGUGCAAGCAUUAAUCGGAUUUAUUGGGCGUAAAGGGCGCGUAGGCGGGCCAGCAAGUCAGAUGUGAAAUUUCGGGGCUCAACCCCGAAGCUGCAUUUGAAACUACAGGUCUAGAGGGUAGGCGGAGAAAACGGAAUUCCACAAGUAGCGGUGAAAUGCGUAGAUAUGUGGAAGAACACCGGUGGCGAAGGCGGUUUUCUAGCUUACACCUGACGCUAAAGCGCGAAAGCAAGGGGAUCAAACAGG
rnacentral:rRNA from 1 species